rnacentral:rRNA from 1 species
UACGUAGGGGGCAAGCGUUGUUCGGAAUUACUGGGCGUAAAGGGCUCGUAGGCGGUCUGUUAAGACCGAUGUGAAAUCCCCGGGCUUAACCUGGGAACUGCAUUGGUGACUGGCAGGCUUUGAGUGUGGCAGAGGGAGGUAGAAUUCCACGUGUAGCAGUGAAAUGCGUAGAGAUGUGGAGGAAUACCGAUGGCGAAGGCAGCCUCCUGGGCCAACACUGACGCUCAUGCACGAAAGCGUGGGGAGCAAACAGG